AUUCUGCAGUGCUGUACAAUGGGUGGACUAACAGACAAGUAUUUGAAACCAGACGAGCUGGAAGCACAGGACCAGAGGGUGCUGAGGGCCCUGCUCCAACCAACUUCCAUUCUAAAGGGAGUGGGGUAAAGUGGCCCAGGUAAGGGUAGGAUGUAUUUCAUCAACACAGGAUAGACGCAGAUCUUCUGCAGAGUAUAGGUGCCUGGACGGGACAUACUUGUGUAUUAGGAAAGAUAGGUAGAUUGGAGCAGCAUUAUGGAGAGAUUUGUAAGCAGGAACCUUCAUUUUAAAUUGAGCUCUAAAUCUUAUGGGAAGCUAGUUUAAGGACUGACAGAGG